rnacentral:rRNA from 1 species
CAGUCGACGGCAGCACGGGAGCAAUCCUGGUGGCGAGUGGCGAACGGGUGAGUAACAUAUCGGAACGUGCCCAGUAAUGGGGGAUAGCCCGGCGAAAGCCGGAUUAAUACCGCAUACGACCUACGGGUGAAAGCGGGGGACCUGCAAGGGCCUCGCGUUAUUGGAGCGGCCGAUAUCAGAUUAGCUAGUUGGUGGGGUAAAGGCCUACCAAGGCGACGAUCUGUAGCUGGUCUGAGAGGACGACCAGCCACACUGGGACUGAGACACGGCCCAGACUCCUACGGGAGGCAGCAGUGGGGAAUUUUGGACAAUGGGCGCAAGCCUGAUCCAGCCAUGCCGCGUGUGGGAAGAAGGCCUUCGGGUUGUAAACCACUUUUGUCAGGGAAGAAACGGUCUGGACUAAUAAUCUGGGCUAAUGACGGUACCUGAAGAAUAAGCACCGGCUAACUACGUGCCAGCAGCCGCGGUAAUACGUAGGGUGCAAGCGUUAAUCGGAAUUACUGGGCGUAAAGCGUGCGCAGGCGGCUUUGCAAGACAGAUGUGAAAUCCCCGGGCUCAACCUGGGAACUGCAUUUGUGACUGCAUGGCUAGAGUACGGUAGAGGGGGAUGGAAUUCCGCGUGUAGCAGUGAAAUGCGUAGAUAUGCGGAGGAACACCGAUGGCGAAGGCAAUCCCCUGGACCUGUACUGACGCUCAUGCACGAAAGCGU